GCCAGUGUGGUGCAGUGGUUUGAGCACUGAACUAUGAUUCUGGAGACCACGGUUCGAAUCUCUGCUCAGCCA